CGCGUGAGUGAAGAAGGGUUUCGGCUCGUAAAACUCUGUUGUUAAAGAAGAACAUAUCUGAGAGUAACUGUUCAGGUAUUGACGGUAUUUAACCAGAAAGCCACGGCUAACUACGUGCCAGCAGCCGCGGUAAUACGUAGGUGGCAAGCGUUGUCCGGAUUUAUUGGGCGUAAAGCGAGCGCAGGCGGUUUUUUAAGUCUGAUGUGAAAGCCUUCGGCUCAACCGAAGAAGUGCAUCGGAAACUGGGAAACUUGAGUGCAGAAGAGGACAGUGGAACUCCAUGUGUAGCGGUGAAAUGCGUAGAUAUAUGGAAGAACACCAGUGGCGAAGGCGGCUGUCUGGUCUGUAACUGACGCUGAGGCUCGAAAGUAUGGGUAGCAAACAGGAUUAGAUACCCUGGUAGUCCAUACCGUAAACGAUGAAUGCUAAGUGUUGGAGGGUUUCCGCCCUUCAGUGCUGCAGCUAACGCAUUAAGCAUUCCGCCUGGGGAGUACGGCCGCAAGGCUGAAACUCAAAGGAAUUGACGGGGGCCCGCACAAGCGGUGGAGCAUGUGGUUUAAUUCGAAGCUACGCGAAGAACCUUACCAGGUCUUGACAUACUAUGCAAAUCUAAGAGAUU
rnacentral:rRNA from 2 species